CGCGAUCGCGCUUCUACGCAUUUUUGGCACAACACAAGAGAAGCGCGAUAUCACUUCGCCGCAUUCAAACGGUUAAAUUUUAGGUUAGGCGUCAGUAUAUCUGUGGCAGUUGCACUGAGCAGUCGAUACUUGUCCAUCUACAAUGGCUGCAAGAAUAAGGUUGUAAGCGUAAGCAGUAAAAAAUGGACCAACCAUAAUCGAUUAUUCUUAUAAUAAUUCUACUUAAUCAAGUGCAAGAUAAAUUACUAAAGCGAAGUAGGAGGACUCCAUUGUAUCCUAAACUACGUUUAUAGGUGACACUCUUUCUUCAGGCACAACUCUCGAUGCUGCUACAGCUAGUAGAAAGAGGACGAGGAAGAGGAAACAAAGGAACUAACAGAGGCGAUAGGGUUGGCAGAAGCGGCAGAGGAAGUAGAGGCGGAAAAGGCGGAUGAAAUACUAAGUUAGAAAAAUGGUCUUCUCACUCCCUUAGAUACGCGGGAUUGUGCAAAGACCAUUUCAAUGAUGCAUCAUUUCUGACAAGCACGAAAAAACGUUUAAAAUUGGAUGCGGUUCCAAUUCAUUUCGAGAGCGAACAUGUUAAUGAAAAUGUAGAACAAAUGAAGAAAAGGAGACAUAUUGAAGUGGAAGAACUGCCUGAAGAAGUAUAAAUCGGAGAGAACACAUACCAACUGUUCUUACAAGUCACAUUUCGGAAAUGAAUAUUAAUAUAGACGAGCAAUUAAUAGAACGGUAUCCACUUCGAACAUAUGACACAUAUAUUAGGAGCGCAAAAAAGUUCUGAGCCCUAGAUUUCAUACUACUGAAA